rnacentral:lncRNA from 1 species
UAUUGCUAUUUUAAAAACACUAUAUGAGAAGAAAACGAAGAUAUAAAACUCUGAUUUGUUGUUUGAGAUAAAAUCUGUACUUUAUUCAAUUGUUGCAAAAAGCAGGAGGGAAUCCUGCUGCAGCAUGGCUGUGGAUGGAUGAAGGGAAGAAUAUAAUGCAGAGUUACGUGCACCACAGACUUAUUAAGCUGUCUGUGAACAGAAUUUAAUUGGAAGACCACACAUUCUUGGACAGUGCAGCAACCAAGCCUGAUCCUGCUUUCAGAGGAAUUCAAGGCCAAUCUAAAUCGUUGCUUUGGGAAACAUAAGCUUAGGACCAUGGCGAACCAGCAACACGUUCUGAGACAAGCUUCUGGAGUCUCUUAAAUCUAUAGAAGUUUUUCUAUUGACUGCAUUCCUUUAAUUUCUGUCUAGGUUUCCUGAUUCAAUAGCCUAUCAACUGUGUAACUUUCCUUCCUUGUUAUGUACGUAGAAUGUGAUCAGAUACUUUAGUUUGUAAUCAUUACUUUCUAUACAUAAAUCACAUACAGAUGGUGUAUUUCAAUUUCUAAACUGUAGUGGUUUUUUUUUUCUGUUUCUGAAAACAAUGUAAAAUAUAAUAGCUUGCCUGUAUGAUUUUCAUAAAAGAGGAAAAAUAAAAAAAAAGAAACAAACA